ensembl:lncRNA
GGCCUUGCACGCAGUGGGGAUUUGUCCCUGCAGUUAGUCCAUGUGACUGGUCCUGCUCCUGCUGCAGGUAACAGAGGAGCUUUUGCUUUUAAUUUGGCAUGGCAGGCCCCUUUAGGCUAUUGGGGUGUGUGUGUGAGGAUUUGCAGGAUCAGACCUGUGAUUUUUGCAAUUUUGCCAAUUUUUGUGUUUCAAUUGAGUUUACAUUAAAGCUUCUUUAAAAAUAAAGGAAAAAAGAACAUGGGGUUCCUAGGAUUUGGUUGUUGUUACACGUGUUUAAAUAUUGUAGAGGGAGUAAAAAACAAGAAAUAAAAAAGUAAGUUCCACGUUGCAUACUUCAUUUAAAUAAAGCCCCAACCUAAAUUAGCACAAACAGCUUGAAGAAGGCACAUCCGGUUCAUUUCACAUGACGAAUGGCUUUUGCACAGCAGAGCUGGAAAACUGCGUUAGAAACAUAUGACUUGGAUGAGAAGGACGUUUUCUGUCAUUGACCCGAGCGGUGUCAGGAGGACGCUCCUGAGCUUGAUGUUGUCAGCUCCAGUUUUGAGAAGUGCAAUGUUCUUUGGCUUCAACAGAACACUGAUGCAAAGCUGAAGGACUGCAGUAGCUUGCACACACGCGGCUCCUCGGGACUUCAGGAGAGCCUGUGCUUAUGGCCUAGAUGGAAACGUAGCCCCAGAGAUGAUCUAAUCCCACCCGUUGACUCAGCGCAGAGGAGGAGGUAUGUUAGACUUCUGAUUUAUUUAGUGAGUUGAGAUGAACAAGUGAAAAAUCUGUCCUGCUAACACUUGCUUGAGCCAGACUUACUCCAGUGAGAAGAUGCACUGAACUCAGUGAAACUCCUCAGGGUAGGAAAUACUCUGGAUUUUGCUGGAUACGGCAGCAAAAUUAGUUUUAUCAGGUUCAGUAUGGGAACUGUAUUUUUGUUGGACAGGAAAGGAGACAAGGAUGAAUGCAUUUUGCAGAACAUAAAGAUGUUUUUGCAAUUCCCUGCGAUGGGAAUGCAGCUCGAAACUGGUUUUGAAGCUUGAAAAAGUGGAAUAGGAGAUAGCAUAGUUGUCCAACUAUACUCACUAUGCGCUGGACGCUGCUGAAAAUUUCGGUUUGGGUUUGGAGUUUUGCUCUAAAUUUAAGUGUAAAACUUUUAUUUCUCCAAGUCAUUACCCCAAGAGUGAAUACUUUUAUUUUCACUUUUUUUUCCUCAAAAUGCACUGAUGGUAUUUAAAAUACUCUAUUAUAAAGCUCCUACUUUUGUUUGGUUGGUUUUUUUGUUCAUUAGGCAUGUAUUUCCCUUUAAUUACCAAGGAUGUUAGGCCUGAUCCUACAAUGUGCGGAACUCAUGGGUGAAACUCCCCUCUACAAGAGGGGGUUAAUAUGAGUCCUAAGCACCACUCAGGUCUGAUGUAAUUCCCCUUGGAUGAUGUUGAGAUGGGUCUGCAACAGGACUUUGUGGUAGGGGCCUUACCAUGAAGAAUUGCCACGAUCUGAGCAAAGUCCCUGAGAACUGGUGGGUAACAGUCAUUACCUUAAAAGAUGGGAUCCAAGGGGUUGGCUAGGGCUGAGGCGCAAUCUUAGCACUUAGCUGGGUGGGAUAGGACAGCAUUUUUUACGUGUUUAGCAUGAAUACAAUUGUAUGGUUGGCAUGGUUUAAAGGAGAAAAAAAAACCCAAGGAACUUCAAGGACAGCUGUGUUGUACUUUGGUGAUCGAUUACUCUGUAUUUUAACACAUUGUAUGUCUGUUUUUGUGGUGCUCUAGUGGUAAAUAAAUUAUUUCAAUUA